AGCUACAGAGGACCAAGGCACUAGUGUUGGAGCCAAAUGCUAGAUUUUAUAUCAUUUUAAUCUGAACUUUUAUAAUCCUUUUAGUUCUUCUUUCUCUGGAUGGCAGAGGAAAGGCGCCUCUGCAUGUAUCAUGCAUCUUUUCUUCCCCCUUUAUUCCUCUUAUAAAUGUGCAAAUGCUGCUGUAAUGGGGAGGAAUGUACCCUUAGCAUUAGCAGGAAGAGGCACAAGCAGAUUUGGGGUUUAUAUAUAGGUACGUUUGCGUGUGUAUAUAUGCAUUAUAUAUAUGUGUGUGUGUAUAUGUGUGCUAGUGGAUAAUAAUGGCCAUUUCAGCUGGAGACAUCUUUAUUUGAAGGUUUCCUUCCAUGGGGGGUAGGAGGGGGCGUCCAUAAAUCUCAGGCUCCAGUUUUUACGUGCAGAAAUAAAGAACCACCGUAAGACCUCCUUUUAUUUUAUUUUUAUCCCAAAGCUUAAUUGAGCAGAAGUUGCAUUUAUGCUGUUGAGCCUCAGAAAGCAGCAACAACAACAACAAAAAUACCUAAACAGUUUUAAUUACCUUUCUGCCUAUGCUGAUGGGGAGAAAAUGCCUGCUCAUUAUGCAGCGAGGUGUUGUGGCUGGCUGAGCCUGGUGUUGGGAGGGGGCCGGGCUGAGGUUUGCGGGCUGGAGGGGUGCCAGCAUUACGGAGGGAAAGGUUAGAGUUGACACACUUUGACACGAGAGUGAAAUGCACUCCGACAACAAAGGAAACCAGGAGCUUGCAGCUAAACAGACACAAAAGCUUACGGGCGUCUUGCGGGCGAGGGAAAUGCGCUGGCUCCCAUUCCUUUCCCUUGUCUUUUCUUAGGAAAAGUUCUCCAUUCUUUUAGGUAAUCGGUCAGUAUUCUCAUACUGCUCAAACCCACCGAAAGGAGGGGUGGAUUUUCACUCAUCACCUCAAAUAAUUAAACCCAAAUGCUACCACCUGCGCACACCAAUACAAGCAGGUCUUCCGUACGUGUCUCUAGCAGCAAAGUCCCUCCUAAAAUCUGUGCAAGACACAGACGUACCUCUACCAGGGCCCCUGCUGCCCACAUGGGGCCAUGAGAGCUACCCACCUGCCAGGAGCCCAGCCAGCCUGCUGGUGUCCCCGUGAUCCCCCAGAUCCCCUCUGGGGAGACACAGCAGCUCUGGCUGCUGUGGGCUCUUUGGAUGUUGGUUUUCCUGCCAGAGGUGCCACCCUGUACCUCAGUCGGUGGAGCAGCAGUCGGGAUGUCACGUGGGAGGAAACCUGUAAGCCUGCAAGAGGUGCUGGGGAAGCAAAUGGCCUAGAUAUGUUUUCCCAGAGGUUCUACCACUGUCACUGAUGGGAUCAGCCUUCACCAGUGGUGGGUCCAUCUUGGGUCCAACUGGCAUUGGCUCUAUUUGACAUAAGGGAAGCUUCUAGCAGCUUCUCACAGAAGCCACCUCUGUAGCUCCCCCACUACCCAAACCUUGCCAU